AACGAACGCUGGCGGCGUGCCUAACACAUGCAAGUCGAACGCGAAAGGGGGCAACCCCCGGUAGCGUGGCAGACGGGUGAGUAACACGUGGGUAACCUGCCCCGAGGUGGGGGAUAACCCUCCGAAAGGAGGGCUAAUACCGCAUGACACCUGGAGGUCCGCGGAUCUCCAGAUCAAAGCUAGCCUCUGCUUGCAAGCUAGCGCCACGGGAGGGGCCCGCGCCCCAUUAGCUAGUUGGUGAGGUAAUGGCUCACCAAGGCCACGAUGGGUAGCCGGCCUGAGAGGGCGAUCGGCCACACUGGAACUGUGACACGGUCCAGACUCCUACGGAAGGCAGCAGUGAGGAAUAUUGCGCAAUGGGCGAAAGCCUGACGCAGCGACGCCGCGGGGAGGACGAAGGUCUUCGGAUCGUAAACUCCUGUCGAGCGGGACGAAGCCGGGGCGGUGAAUAGCCGCUCCGGUUGACGGUACCGCUAAAGGAAGCCCCGGCUAACUCCGUGCCAGCAGCCGCGGUAAUAC
rnacentral:rRNA from 1 species